rnacentral:rRNA from 1 species
UACGUAGGGGCCGAGCGUUGUCCGGAGUUACUGGGCGUAAAGGGCGCGCAGGCGGCUGCUCAAGUCAGGCGUGAAAGGCCUGGGCUCAACCCGGGAAUUGCGCUUGAGACUGGGCUGGCUUGAGUGCGGGAGAGGAUGGUGGAAUUCCCAGUGUAGAGGUGAAAUUCGUAGAUAUUGGGAAGAACACCGGUGGCGAAGGCGGCCAUCUGGACCGCAACUGACGCUGAGGCGCGAAAGCGUGGGGAGCAAACAGG